UUGACACCCGACACCAAUGUGUGACUAUUGUUGUUAGAUCAUAAGAAAGUUGUAGAUCUUGAAUAUCAAUAGCUAAACGGACAGAAACCUAAUAUCAAAGUGAAAAGCAGGUACCAUGAUGAACAUCUCCUCAGGCAGUAGCACUAGUUGCUUUGAUUUUGCUUUAGAUCAUCUAGACUGGAUUGACAAGACGCUCGACUCUGAGCUUGAUCAUUAUAUUUGGAAACUGAAGAUGGGGAUACGCAUAUUGAAACCCUUUGAUCUGUAUAUUAGAAAGUGUAGGAGGUGGAGGAGCAAUCAAUUUACGUGUUUGGAAUAUGAUAAGGAGGAAAAUGGUGAUCCUAAAUCUGACAAUUUGAGACUUAGCAGUAUUUCGUUCAGGAUUCAAGAUCUGGUUAGGGGGAUAACACAUGGACUUGACUCUGCCUUUUUUAGAUAUAUUCAGUCUAGUGCAUCAGAUCAUAGUGACAUCAGACCUGAGCUUGCCAGAUUCGAGGAAAAUAUGAGGUUGCUUUUUGAUUCAGAUAUCAAGGAAUUCAACAUCAUCAGUUUGUUGCUCUACUACUCGCUGGGAGAUUUACAACCUGUUAUGGAUUUCAUUGAUUUGAUUUCAGAGAAUCUGAGGCAUCUUUAUGGCACAUGUUAUGAAUUUGAUAAAGAUUUGAAAAUUGUAAUGCGAACCCUUCAAGAGAAGCUAAUGCACUUGAAGAGUUUCAUUCGCUUUGCGACACUACAAGGUGUUGAGGGUGUGCAAUUAAAAGAUCUGUUGGUUCACGUUGAAGUUGUGGCUGUCAAUACUGCAAGCUUGAUCUGUAGAUUAUGGUUUCAAAGAGAUGAUGAACAAGUGUGCAAUGAGAUAAACACUGAAAUUUCUCAAGCGAUACAGCAGAUGAUUGUUCCCGUUGAUCCCCAAGUUCAAGAAACUUAUUUGCAUGUUUUGACAGCUUCCAAGUUAUCAAGAUCAUCCUGCACUUUUGUUAUGAAGGAGAAUAAGCAUCUAGUGGCUAAAUUUAUUGAUUAUCUCCUCCAUAGUCUUAUGGAGCUAUUAGUAUAUUAUACCAGUUUCCUAGUUUUAGUGAAGGAUCAAAUGCUGAAACUCCAUGAUGGUGUAAAGUUCCUUGUUACCCUUCUUAGCAAGCAGCAGGAGAAGUUCGAUGAGCUAAAUGAUAAGAUGAAGGAUCUCAUUGGAGUUGUGGUCUCUGAUGCAGGAAUUUUGAUUUUCUCCCUUUCUGUGAACGAAAUGAAAGAAGGCGUGUGCAAGGAAACAGAUCUGGCACUUUCUCAUUUGCUUGAAGUGCUCAAGUUGAUCAUUGCAGAAGUUGGACACAUUUAUCCACUACCAUCAUCAUCACUUAGUUUCCCUAAGACUAAUGAGCUUGGCUCUCUUGAUUUUCUUCUAGAUACUCUCAAGGAACUAGCAGGUUCUACAGCUGAUUCAAUUGCUUUUCCAAACAAUCAAAUACGCACAAUCCUAGAAGAUCUUGUAUUCUUAAGAGCUUUCCUAGGAAAUAUUGUGGAGCAGCGCAGCCAAAAUGGAAAACUCCAAACUCUUUGGAGUCAUGUCAUGAAGGUUGCAUACUCUGUAGAAUUAGAAAUUGACUCUGCAUUGCUUGGUGAUAAACAUGAACAUUGUGUGGAUGCUUUUGCUAGAGAUAUCCAGCUUAUGAAGAUUGAGGCUGAAGAGAUCUAUGACAGCAUAAGGUAUGAUGCUGAAACCCUGAGAGUUACCAAGACUACCAUUCACAUGCCAUCACAAAUUGUUGCUCCAAUAUUUAAUGAAGCUCUAGUAGGUCUCAAUGACGAGGUGGAAAGUAUAAUUGAUAGACUUGUGAGAGGAUCAAGCCAGUUGGGUAUUGUUGCCAUUGUAGGUAUGCCGGGGCUUGGUAAAACCACAUUAGCUAGUAAAGUUUACGGUGAUCCUUCAAUAAAUUUCCACUUCCAUAUUCGUGCUUGGUGUACUGUUUCUCAAGUAUAUAGCAAGCACAAUUUGUUACUGCAGAUUUUGUGUGCUAUUGAUUCUGGGAGUUAUGACCAAUGUCAUACGAUGAAUGAAGAUGAUUUCGCUGCAAAGCUGUACCAGCAAUUGAAAGGGAAGAGGUAUGUCAUUGUUUUGGAUGAUGUUUGGGACAUUGACGGGUGGAAUUUGUUGAAACACUCAUUGCCAGAUGACUGCAAUGGAAGCAGGGUACUCUUAACCAGCAGAUUUCACAACUUGUCUUUGGAAAUUAGACCGGAUAGCAAGCCUCUCCAUCUUCGCCCACUUACUGAUAAAGAGAGUUUGGAAUUGCUGCAGAAGAAGCUAUUUGCCAAAGAAGAUUGUCCUGCAACAUUAAGUGAAGUCGUACUGCAUGUAGCAAAAUGCUGUAAGGGCCUACCUCUUGCAGUUGUCCUUGUUGCUGGAAUUCUUGCUACUACUCAGCAAGAUUGCUGGGAAGAAGUCGCAAGACGUUUAAGUUCCACCAUUUUUGUAGAAAAUGAACACUGCAUGAAGACACUUGAGUACAGUUACAAUUAUUUACCAGAUUAUUUGAAACCAUGCCUUCUUUACUUGGGUGCAUUUCAGGAAGACCAAAACAUUCCUGUCCGAAAGUUGUUACAGCUUUGGAUCUCUGAAGGAUUCGUGCGAAGGAUUGAAGGAAAGAGUUUAGAGGAUGUGGCAGACAACUAUUUGAUGGAUCUGAUUGGGAGAAGUUUAGUUAUGCCUACACAACGAAGAUCUUUAGGUGGGAUCAAAGUUUGCCGAAUUCAUGAUUUGGUACAUGAGUUUUGUGUGGAGAAAGCAAAAGAAGAAAAUUUUCUAGGGAUUGUAAAUGUGGAUGACCUUCAUACUUUUCCUGGACCGUGUAAUCCCCACCGGCUGUCUAUUUACCCUAGCACCAGUAAGGGACCUAUAAAGUCAAGGCUAAUUUUUCCCAAUUUACGUAGUUUGCUCUUCGUUGAUUGUAAAUAUGGACAGCAGUUGGAUUUGGACGGAAGCUCACUCAAAUUUCUGUUAUCUAAACUUCUUAGAGUGUUGGAUUUGGGGGAGAUGCUUUGUCGGUAUUUUCCAAGGGAAGUGUUAUUCCUUGUUCACUUGCGGUACUUGAGGAUAAAUUGGAACUUUGGGCAAAUCCCAUCUGCAAUAGCCAACCUCUCAAGGUUAGAAACUUUGGCUGUAGGAGGAUCCCUUGUUCGUACUAUUUUUCUGUUACCAAACGCUAUCUGGAACAUGAAAACGUUAAAGCAUCUUGUCGUUUUCCCACACUAUAGAGUUGGUGGUUUGGAAUUUCCCAUGGACAAUGUUGAAGGCUCCCCAGAUUUAGAACACUUAGAAACUUUAUGCCUUGUAAUCGAUCCCUCUUCUCAAGGUCAAAGCUUGCAAAAGAUACUGUCAAAGUUGCCGAGCAUCCGCAGGCUAACGUGCGCGAAUGGGAAUGACAAUUGGCAUUCUGAAGCAUCUGCGGGAAAUCACAAUGGGAUUCUCGUGCUGGAUUACUUGAGUCAUUUAGAAUCACUUGAGAUGGUUGGAUUUGCCGGAUAUGAGUUUGUAUUCCCAUUGAAUUUGAGAAAGUUGACAAUCUCAUAUAAUCGUCAGCCAUGGAGUAAAAUUUCAGCAAUUGGAAAGCUGCCCAACCUUGAAGUGCUUAAAUUAUGCCCUUUUUCCUUUGUGGGGGAAGAAUGGGAAAUGGAAGAAGGGGAGUUCCAAAACCUCCGAUGCUUGGAAUUGCUUGGCUUGGACAUUCGCUGGUGGACUGCAUCUUGUGAUAAUUUUUGCUGUCUUGAGAAAUUGGUUUUACUGAAUUGUUUUAGGCUGGAAGAGGUCCCUUCUUGUUUAGGGGAAACCUUCACUCUUGACAUGAUUGAGGUGACAUCGUGUCAUGAGUCUGCCGUAAAUUCUAUGAAGAAAAUUCAGCAAGAGCAGAUGGAUAUGGGAAAUAAGGAUCUAAAGAUCGUUAUUGCUGAACUACAAAAAUAGUGAUGGUCCACGUCUUCUUCUCAGUGCCAAUUCAGAAAGAGAGUCGAUUUCCUCUCAUCACAUUUUGCAAUGGGUACCGUUGAUGCAUCUUCUUGAGUGGGCAGAGUCAAAAGCAGAGGGGGUUCCACUUAUUAGUUUCUGAAACCCUCUUCACUGCUGCUGUAGAUUCAUAUGAUCCCCAGAAUCAGCUCAGCACUAGCAUGUAAUGGAAAAGGGAGGAAAAUCCUACCGAGCGACUGUUGGACAACGUUGAGCACAGAUCAAAGUUAAUAAUUCAUAGACCUGCAGAAACACUUCAAAGCUGAAGCUCAAUUUGUUAUCUUGCAGUUCUGAUAACAGUCAGAAUAAACAGCUCCUGCAACUUCAUUCUGAGAGAACAUAAUGCUUGUCUCACAUCUUAUUGAGGUUGCAUUGCACUCAAAUAUUGUGGUUUUACAAGCAAUUGCCUCAUUGCCGAUAUCAAGUCCAAUGAGGAAGAGAAGAAGUUCCUGACUUUUGGUUUGCAGAUCAGAUGCCAGCUAGUGGAAAGUACGAAUAAGCAAGAAGCAAGAAUGACAGAACAAAUUUUAGGCACUUGUAAAUUGCUAUUACAAGUGAUGUCCAGAAGUUGAGCUUCCUGUGAACCAUGUCACUAUCACGGUUAACAACCCACUGUAAGUUUGAACAAGUCGUUUCCUAACACUUCAGAAGGUGAAAUACUUUAUAACUUGCUGCUAUAGCUGGUGGUGCGUCAUUCGAUGUAACUUCCUUUCUUCUAAAAAUAGCUGGGGAAGUACUUUGUGCAGCAUCUACUCUCUCUCUCUCUCCCCAACUAUUUUUAAUAAAUGUUUUGGUCAUCAGGGCUUCUGCAGUUUUUUCCUUGUGCCAUUUGAUAUUGGUGUGGAUUUCUGAGACAGCCAACAAUAUGUGUUUGAUUGCUUGACCAUCUGCUAAACUAGCGCUCCCAAAAAAGUUUGUCCAUGUCUACUUCUUAUUCUCUAUUGCUUAGAUUGAUGAAAGUAAUGUAUUCAGGUGGUCCUUUAAGUUUAAAUUAGCCCUUAAUGGAGGAUUUAGUUCAUUACAGAUGCUCAACAAAUGAACUCCAUUUGUGAAGUCUAUAUAUGUAUUUUCUGUUCUUUCCAAGAAUACUGCCCUUAGACUUGAAGACACUUGGAAGCAUCAAAAGGAUUUGUUGCAUCUGUUGCUGAUGAAACCUAGGUGAACGUAGUCCAAUUUAUAUAAGCUUUGUGAUUACCAAAUACUUUUGCAAUUUUCCAAAUAUAAGGUUGUAUAGAACUUUUUAUUUUUUCUCUAUUGCUUUGGUUUUCUUUUGUUCCAUUUGUCUUGACAAAGCUGAGAAAGGGCACAUACAAAACUCCUGAUGCCCUUUUGCAGGUCCUCCAAGAAAGAACAUCUGACAUUUUAAUAGACAUGGGAACUAUCCUAUGCUGUCUUAGCAGGUUCUUAAUUUAAAGUAUGUAAAGGUGCAGAAUACUAUACAAAAGAUUGAAGGAAAACCAAAAGAAAUUAACAAACAAUUGGAGCAUGCAUUGAUGACGUGAUCAUCUUCUUGGAUGGCUGGCCUGCACCAAGUGCUCCAGUGGGACAAGAUUCUUGGCUGAAACUUCUGAUCUCUAAGGUUAUCUCGCUCAUCGCAGGCUUAGCGUGAGCUGUUUAACCUACAUUCUCUUUCUUAGCGUAAGCCCUGGAUCCCAUUGUUCUAGCUCAACAGCAUGCUAUCGUUUAGAAUGUGUGGCUAUUGCUCCUCAUGAAGACACAAAAGAGCAAAAGAAUUGCUCAUUUUUGUAUCUCCAUUUGACAAUUCAAGAUACUUCACUGCCAUGGUUGCCCGUUUCCAAGUCUGUUCCUGUUAAUACAGCUUUCUGAGCUUGGCAAAUUUUUAAAUUGGAGCAUCAGUUAUAUACAUGGUACGAUUCUACUUCUAUGGAAGUUCGAUGUCGCCCAUCAUUAUUCCAAA